ensembl:lncRNA
CCUUCGCUGCCUGCCCCAGCACCCGUUCCCAUCUCUUGCCCUCCCUUCCACCCCUCUUUUUUGCUUCUCUUAUCUCUGUCUCUUUCAGCCUCUUCCCCUGUCUCUGGCUCACACCCCUGCAUGCCUCUCGUCUUCCCUCCUCCCACCCCUCAAGGUUCAGAUACUUUAUGUAAAAUUACCUGGAUGGGCUCCAACUGUCAGGUCCCCCAUUCUGGACCCCCUCCUCCAAGAGAGAUUUAUGGCCCCAACUCUGCAUCCUCUGCAUUCUCCCCAGCCCUGGGCCAGGUCUUUUCAUUACCUAGUGAUUAUCUGGGGGCCCUGGCAUUUCCCUCCAUCUCCCACCCUCUACCCAGCAGGCAGUGAAUAGCGCAGGGAGAAAGGGGAAGGGAUUGCUCUUGGGACCAGAUGCAAGGACAUGGAGACCCUCCCCCUGCAGCCACCCUCCUUUCCCUCAAGCAGAUGCACAUCUGGGAAAAUCCUGGCUUGAGGCAGGGGAAGACAGCCUAGGACUGUUGGAACAUAAAUCAAACACCCAGAUGCCCCUCCCCUACUGUUCUGUCUUUACAGCCGUCUCUCCAAUUCCUUCCAAUUCCUCCUUUGCCUCUAGGAAUUUUGGCUCUGGAGUCUGGGCUGGGGCCACUCAUCUGCUACCCAGCAGGGUGCCUGGAACCAAGGAGCUGCUCAAUUAAUGCCCCUGGUCAAAGCCUGGAGUCGUGUUUGGGCAGGGACAAUGUGAUCUUCAGGCUUUCCUCAGCUGGGGGCUCUUUCCGAGAUCUGGGGCAAUUCCUUCUGCUCCAGCUUCAAUGCUCUGGCCCAGUAUGGUUACUAUAGACCCUCUCUCUUCAGGGUCCUGCCUCUACGCUUCUCCUCCCCCCUCCCACCUCCAGCCAGUCUCCACUGCGCCUAACUCAGCACUAUCAAGUAAAGGCAGUGGUGCCCCUUUUCCUUGAGACCAAUGGCUUCUUGGGCUGAUCUCUUGUCCAUUCAGCCCUCAGUCUCUAAGUAGGCCCACCUUCUGCAUCCCUGACAGCUCACAGUGUUGCCUCUGUUUGAAGAUUAAUGUUCUGGGAAGGAGGAGGCACCUUCCUCUGGUCACUGUUUCAGGGCUUGGAAGCUCUACUUUUUGAAUGGCUACAGCAGGAAGCUCUCUAGGCAGGGACUAUAUCUUUUUCAUAUUUUUUUCCUCCAGCACAAUGCUCAACGCAUAUUUGGUUAGAAUAUGCCAUGAACGCUGAAUGACUGGCACAGGAAAUCCCUUGUGGUGAAGCUUAAGCCAGUCCCUUUUAGUUUUAUUUCUGGAGCGAUGGGAAACACGGGUGAGGGGGCGGGGAUGGGUGGUGGUGGGGGAGGAAACUAAAGGAGAUUCUGGGAGAGGCUGGGGGUGCUUCUACCCUUGUUUCCAGGACUCCUGGGCAGAGGUUCUUUAGCUGGAUCUGCGACUGGUCCCCAAAUAGCCACAGGCAGGGCUCCACCCCUCCCCGACUUUCCUCCAGCCAAUCGGAACCUCCUCCCUACCCAGGACCCUGAAAAGCGUGUUUACUUCUAAAUCCAUAUCCUGUUUGCCCAGCCUCCAACCAAGCUCAUUUAAACCCUCACUCCACCUCGUCAUCCAGCCAGGGCCCACUCCACUUCCAUUGCCCACCUUCACUUUCCUCCUGGAUUCCGGGCUAAGCCACCUUCUUCCCGUUUUCCCAUCCCUUCCCAAGGCCCCGCCCCGCCCCACUUCCUGGCUCUGCUGAGACAAGCUCGUUUCCUCUCCCUGGGUUUGGCUUGCAGUUUUCUCCUCAGGUCUUUCCCCUUGAGGUAGAAAAAGCCCACGGGUGGCUUCCCUGGUAUCUCCAUACUUCGCCUGUAGGUCCACUUUCACUCAUCUUCAGUGAAAGCAGGAAGGGCCCAAGGACCACCCUGCAUAACAAAGUUGAAGGAAACAGGAAUGCUCAAAAGCACUGCCCAUCUCCGACCCUGCCGUUCACAGCUUCCUCACCUGGGAUUGUUGCUCAGCGUCCAUGGAUGGACUUCAGAGGCGUGUGUGACAUUUUCCUGAGGUUGGCUGGACAGAAGACACAAUUCUUGAGGUUCAAGGAACUGCUAAAGGAGAACUGUGGCCCCCACGAGUCUGUAUCUUCAAGAAGUCUGUGGAUAGAAAGAAGCAGCAGAAGCUGGAGAUCCUUCUUACCGGUGGCAAGAGCUUGGAAAACUCCCUCAGACGCUCAUUCGCCUCCACGAACAAACAGCCUGGAUUCCCUGCUGGUCGGCUGGACCAGGAAGAAAGGGUGGGAGCUAGUCAGCCAUGGAUCUUAAGCUCCAGCUGUUUGAGAAUAUGUUUCUUUUCUCUUGCCCUCUCCCUCGUCUCAUCUUUUCUAUCCUUCACCCGGUUCUCCUAAUCCUUCGAAAGAGAGGCACAAGGUUUUCUUCUCCCCAGAGCAACCAGAGAGAGAAAGCAAAAAAGCUUUCGCUCCAAGGAACUCUGCUCCUGUUUUAUGGGGUUUGUCAAUAACGUUCCUUCACUAAGAUAGCAUCUCAGCAGAAUGAAAGAGCCCUCUGCUCUUCGUGAAAAGAGCUGUUUUCUCUUGGGGGUGUGGGGGGGUCAUUAAAUAAACCUGUUUUUUAAAAAAGUA